GCCCAAGUGGCGGAACGGUAGACGCAGGGGAUUCAAAAUCCCCCGGCCUUUGGCCGUGUGAGUUCGAAUCUCACCUUGGGCACCA
rnacentral:tRNA from 1 species